AGAGCGAACGCUGGCGGCAGGCCUAACACAUGCAAGUCGAGCGGCCGUAGCAAUACGGCAGCGGCAGACGGGAGAGUAACACGUGGGAACGCGCCCUUCGGUUCGGAAUAACUCAGGGAAACUUGGGCUAAUACCGGAUACGCCCUUACGGGGAAAGAUUUAUUGCCGAAGGAACGGCCCGCGUCCGAUUAGCUUGUUGGUGAGGUAACGGCUCACCAAGGCGACGAUCGGUAGCUGGUCUGAGAGGAUGACCAGCCUCACUGGGACUGAGACACGGCCCAGACUCCUACGGGAGGCAGCAGUGGGGAAUAUUGGACAAUGGGCGCAAGCCUGAUCCAGCCAUGCCGCGUGGGUGAUGAAGGCCCUAGGGUUGUAAAGGCCCUUUCGGGCGGGAAGAUAAUGACGGUACCGCAGAAGAAGCCCCGGCUAACUUCGUGCCAGCAGCCGC
rnacentral:rRNA from 1 species